rnacentral:tRNA from 1 species
GCCCGGGUGGCGGAAUGGUAGACGCAGCGGACUUAAAAUCCGUUGGCCGUAGGCCGUGAGGGUUCGAGUCCCUCCCCGGGCACCA